UAAGCCUUGUUGACCUGGAAAAGGAACAGGCUGCCUUUAACUAUAACCUUCAUUAUAGCAAAACAUCAGAAGUUUUUAUUUAUUUAUUUAUUUUUUCUCAGUGUCUCCGACUUUCCCCUCUUGAAGUGACAAUGCUUUGUUUACUGGGGCUUGGUGUAAUAUACCAUCUAUACUCCGAAGUUAUAGCUGAUCGAAUAGCCGCAUUUCGGCAAGCAAAGACUGGAUCUGCGGGAGCUGCUGGCACUAUCAUCAGUGGAAGGUGCAGUUCUGGGAGGACAAGAAGUGAAAAUAAUUCGGUAAGAAAAUGCUCUGAUGAUAAAUCUAAAGAAGACUAGAGAAGGAGCGAAGGAAAUGCUUAUUACUGGAGACUUGUUUUCACAUAGGAAGAUGUUUAAACUUGAAUCUGAAAUACACUUUUCCCCAAGGCUUGGGCAUUGGUGGGUGGUGGUUGAAAUGUGAAGGCUUGUACAUCCUACAAUGAACAAUUGCCACAAAGAAUUGUUUCCCGCUGUCAUGCUGGGAAGAUGAAGACCAUCGCUCAGAAGGCAUUUGGAAAUGACACGGUCGUCAUGCCAGCUGGUGGAGCAGGAUACAAGGUUCUUUCUCUUCUGGAUAUACCUGAUGAGAAGCAUGAAAAAGCAGAUGUUAACACCCAUGUAUCACAAAGUGGGAUAUUUGUGCAGGCAAUGCACUGCUUAAAGCACAGGGAGGUCACAUGACCCCUCUCAAAGGCGAGGGAAUUGACUAUGCUGGAUCUGAAGCAAACAAGGGAGGGCUUGUUGCUAGCAUAAACGUGAACCAUGAAGCAUUAGUUGAUUGCCAAACAUGUAACAGAUGGAAUGGCUGUCCGUAGCAAGUUGCCUUAUAUAUAUUCAGCUGAGUUUAUGCUCAGCUCACCGCUACCACCCACGCGCUGACUCGGGAGUGGCAAAGACAAACACACGCUGUCCUCCGAAGUGUGUGCCAUCAGUCGACCUCUUCUUUUCACACUGCAGACCCACCAUGCAGCUUACAGGCAAGCCCGCAAGUGCCCGGCCAGACUACUGGGGUCGCUGGUCCGUGGUGAAUAGACCUAAUGCCAUCACCACCACCGAUGUAAUAGUUCCUAACACAGCAUUCUAACAGCAGUGUUAUUGAAAUAUGGUGUAUAUUUUAUUAUUGGUCAUCUGUCUUGAGGGUUUGGCAAAAUAAUCUAUAAUUUUUGUUGAUUUGAUUAAAUAAAUAAUAUAGCAGUUA